UAAGGAAUAUUGGUCAAUGGACGCAAGUCUGAACCAGCCAUGCCGCGUGAAGGAUUAAGGCCCUCUGGGUUGUAAACUUCUUUUAUAGGGGAAGAAAUGUGACGGUUCCCCGUCACUUGACGGUACCCUGGGAAUAAGCACCGGCUAACUCCGUGCCAGCAGCCGCGGUAAUACGGAGGGUGCAAGCGUUAUCCGGAUUCACUGGGUUUAAAGGGUGCGUAGGUGGGCAGAUAAGUCAGUGGUGAAAUCUUCCGGCUUAACCGGGAAACUGCUGUUGAUACUAUUUGUCGUGAAUAGUGCGGAGGUAAGCGGAAUAUGUCAUGUAGCGGUGAAAUGCUUAGAUAUGACAUAGAACACCAAUUGCGAAGGCAGCUUACUACACAAUCAUUGACACUGAGGCACGAAAGCGUGGGUAGCGAACA
rnacentral:rRNA from 1 species